rnacentral:rRNA from 1 species
UGGGGAAUUUUCCGCAAUGGGCGAAAGCCUGACGGAGCAAUACCGCGUGAGGGAUGACGGCCUAUGGGUUGUAAACCUCUUUUUUCAGGGAGGAAUCAAUGACGUGUACCUGAAGAAUAAGCAUCGGCUAACU